rnacentral:rRNA from 1 species
UACGGAGGGGGCUAGCGUUGUUCGGAUUUACUGGGCGUAAAGGGCGCGUAGGCGGCCACCGCAAGUCGACUGUGAAAUCUCCGGGCUUAACCCGGAAAGGUCAGCCGAUACUGCGGGGCUAGAGUGCAGAAGGGGCAACUGGAAUUCUCGGUGUAGCGGUGAAAUGCGUAGAUAUCGAGAGGAACACCUGCGGCGAAGGCGGGUUGCUGGGCUGACACUGACGCUGAUGCGCGAAAGCUAGGGGAGCGAACGGG